ensembl:lncRNA uncharacterized LOC102078555
AUGGAGUGCUUCAAGAAAAAACAGCCAGUCAUUGGUACAUCCUUGAUUGUGUCCUGCAUUACCACAGAAGCUCAGGCAGAGCCUUUUUACAUAUGCUUUGCUUGUCAGGAGUGUGUCUGUCAGUCCUUGAUCGAGCCACACUUAAACUCCCGAAAACAUGUUGUACACACGCUGCUGUUUGAGAAUCCCUGGCGGCUGCCUUUCGGCUGGGAGAAUCUGCAGGAUGAUCAAACACUAAAGUCAAAGGCGUGGGAGGAGGAGAUGGAGAGAAGACCAAAGGAGGUGGUUCUGAAGGUUCUUGAUAUGCCAUGGUCAGUAUUUUACAGGCUCACCCCUCCUACUUUUGAAAAAGUACUGGAGGGACUUGAACAGCAGCGCAAGGUCUUGAAGAAUGAAGUUCCACCUUGUCAAACAUAUAGCAAACUCCAAGGAAAUGAAUCAUUUCCUCUACUUGGCAUCGAGUUCAUCGUGAUGUAUGAUUUAUUUGUCAAAGAACCCAAUUCCCCAGAAGCACAUUUUCUGUGUUUGCUCUGUGAGAGGAGGCUGUCAGAGCACGAAUGCCACGACCAUAUAUUCAGCCGUGAACACGUGGCAAAAUUCCUGGACUGUUUCCACCCAGGCUCACUGGAUUCCAACGCUGAUGCAGAGACACUACUGGACUUGGCAAAACAGGCAGCAACAAUUCACAAUAAAUCUCACAUACAGGCAAUAUAUUUGCAGCGUCCGAUUAAGGAGCCAUACUCCUACUCCCAAGCAACAAGAAUCUUGGAAUGUGUAAAUAGGAAAACUGGGAACAAAAAGCUUAAACCCCAAAUAAAACGUAAUAGAAAACUGGUUCCGAGGAUAACUGUAAAAGAUGAGCAAUGUGUGAGAGUUGUCUGUCAGAAAAACAGCAGCACCAGCAUAGCCGGUGUAGAAGAAAUCAAAAAAGAGCGUGACGAGGAAACACCGACACCAAGUGAAAAUGACUCGGCGUUGAAAAGUGAGGUGGCUUCCAAAACUACUUCAGAAGUGAUGGCGAAUCCAGGUGAGGUGUGUCGGGCGAUAAAGCAGGAGCCAGAAGAGGCUAAAAUAAAAGGAUCAACUGGGGCGAAGCAAGGCUGCCACAACACCAACAAAGAUAAUGGUGCAGAUGCUGGGAUAGAAGAUGGCAGAAGUAGCAAAGAUGUCCCAGCACAGCUGAAGAAUUACAAAGAAAUGGAAAGAAAAAGACAGCACGGUGUGUCUGAAACAUCGCAAGAGGACUCAUGUCCUGCUGAGUGUGUGGGGAGAGAAAUGGGCCCUAAAAGACAGCGUCUGACCUCCAGAGAAGACUCGUGUGAUGAAGCCCCAAAAAUGUCUGAUAUUAGAAUAAAGAAGGAAAAAAAUGAAGAUGAAGCCUGCAAAGCAGCAAUUGACAAAGGUUUUAGCGCCCUGCUUAAAUGCUGCUGUCCUCAGCAUGAGCCGGUCUACCUCUGCGAGUCCUGCUCUUUGAAGAUCUCAGAGAAGGACAUCGUCAGGCAUCUGACUGGAUUUGAUCAUCACAAGCUCCAGCCGGUGGAUGUUUAUGUAAAUGAAGAAGUUUACAGUAAGGUCUCAAAACAAAGCUUUCAAUCGGCUAUAGAGACAGUGAAGGCAUUUCAGACUUCAUCCUCAGCUCCUACCUGCGUAAAACCUGUGGACACUUCAGUCGACCAACAUGAUGACAGUACAAAGGGCAGCAUGAAGGUGGUGAAGAUGGAGAUUGAUGACAAUCAGGAGGAGUCUGCGUUAUUUAAAGGCACCUCUGAGGCAGGACUUGAGUUAUUCCAAUCAACUGAAGAGGACAAAAAGAGUACCAAAGCACCCAAGCCAGCUAGCAAAUUUGUCACUUGUCCAAUUACUCCCAAAAGUGGAGAAAACGUAAGCCCGUGUGUGUCAAAUGCAAGUGGCACAAAGACUGCCUCCAAAGCUGGUAUUACUCCAAACACAAGUGUGGAAUCAAUAAAAAUUGCUUCCAAGCCUGACAUGGAAGAAGUGAGACCGGUUACGUCCAUGUGCACUGCAGCCACUGCUAAAAAUCCUGCAACUUCUUCCCAACGGAUAGGAACUGCCUCCACCUCUAAGGUAUCUGCCUCAAAUGUCAAGUCAACUGCAGAAUCUCCAGCAGUGCGCAGAACUGGAGCUGCAUCGAGAGUGAGGGCUACUUCUUUAAACGGUACACCUCCUCAGACUGAAUCCACAGUGGUGCGAGAGGCUACUUGCAAAACUGCACCUUCCUCCAGAAGUGAAAAGUUUCCAUCUCAUCAGUUAAAAACCAAAGCCACCCCUCAAAUGGCACCUGUGGCUAAAAAGCCCAGAACCUCAGUUAGAUCUGAAAGUGUGGAGACUCCUGCAAAGGCCGUACAUGUGAAGAAUUCAGAGGGGCCAAAUGCACCACAUUGUCAUAAAAGUAACAAACCUGACGCUCCUCAUCAGGCCAAGGGCACAUUUGUCAGGCCUGAACACAAGAAGCCACCCACAGAGCCACCCCAAACCUCUAUGAGUAAUAAGACAAAGCCAAGUGAAGGUCUUCCUAAAAUAGGCUUAAAUGAGCUGAUUGUGGUAUUUUGCGAGGAGAAGCAGCAAGUCUACUGUAAGCUGUGUUCAGUGAAGCUAACCAGUUCCAGUGACUAUCAUCUAAUCAGCUUAGACCACUGGAAAAAAUAUGUGAAAACAAAGUAUCCUGAAUGGACCGCAAAGCCAUCAGAGAUGGAGAAAAAACUGAACGAGAUAGCGAUUCCCUUGACCGAGGCUGAGAGGAGUCUCGGACAUCGCAGACCACAGAUUCUGAAAGUGAAGAAGGACAUGUAUGAAAAGCUGGCACAUCUUCGAGAAGAUGAAGCUGUCAAAUAUGUGAGGUCAAUGAGUAAGAGAAGCUUGCGGCUCUCAUCAACCUCCCCAGCUGAUUCUGCCUCUGCCAGUCCAUGCGACGUUUCAAGCUCAGAUGAUGGGAUAAAUAAAAUGUCAGAACUUUCUACUUACGAAUGUUCAACGGUGGAGAACAAAAACCAGCACCAGGCACUGUUGAUCCAGAAGGAAGAAAUGAGCUCUAACUCAAAAGUGGAAGCGGACCUGACUGCAUGGGAGCCAAUCGGACAGAGCUCGGAAGGUGAAGACAUACAAUCUGAUGACAUGAUUCUAGAUGAGCUUCAAGACGAGGAAAUGGCAGAAAUUGAGGAUUUAGAGGAAGAUGUAGAGGUUCAGACUUGCACUGAAGUUAUGUCUGAAAUACAGAGUCCUGAACUUCAUGGCACUGACUCGGACAUCUUUGCUGAAUCCCCUGGUGGAGGCACUAGCGACCACAGACCAAAGCAGUUGAAGAGCGAAGAAUUUCAGGACACCUGGACAUUGCCAGCAUGCCCACAAACAGCUUUGCCUGUAAAAUUCAGCUGCUCAGAGCCGUUCUCUGUAGCUCCUUCAGCUUAUACAGAAGGGCAGAACCAGCUGAGACCAAGGCAGAAGAUGGACCACGUGUCUAGAGGCAAUCCAGUAUCUGAAGAGCACAGCGCAUCACAGGCAUUCUUAAGAACUCCAACAGAGGGAAGAAAUCAGCGCUCUAGUUCUGACAGCCAUUUGAUCCUAUUCUUGAAAACAAAGGGACUGGAUGCAGAACCAAUUGUUGGUCAGGGUUAUGUGUUGGAGUGCCGCGGGAUUUCUUUGGAAACCAUUUUCUUAUGCACGUGCUGCGAGAAGGUGCUCUCUCACCGUGACGUCUGUCAGCACAUGGUCAGCUCUGACCACCAGUUCGAAUACAUGCGGAAAGAACACCCUGGGUUUCUCCACAAGUUCUGGGAUGAAGACCUGCCUCUGGACAAGAGACUGGGACUCUUAAAGAAAGUUUCCUGGAAGAUUUCAGAGCGGGAGCAGGAUGAAAAACCAAAGGUUACAACGCUGACAAAGGAGUUGCAUGAACGUGUUCAGACAGCUCCAUUCAGUGAAGCUGUAAAAAUGGUGCAAAAUAUGCAUACGGACAAAUCAAAUAAACUGGGCAUGGCGCAGGACAUCGAUAAACACAGUGUCUUGGAACCACAGCACAAGAGUCAGCAGUCUGAUGAGCGGCCAAUUCCAAAUGAGUCUCUUACCACAGAAAUGCAAUCAGCUUAUAGACCUGAGCGAUACCACAGAAGUGACAAUGUAAUCUGAAGUGUAAUGGUUUGUCAGUCAG